rnacentral:pre_miRNA from 1 species
CUUGUACUCCCUCCGUCCGAAAAUACUUGUCAUUGAAAUGAAUGUAUCUAGAUGUAUUUUAGUUCUAGACACAUCCAUUUUGAUGACAAGUAAUUCCGGGCGGAGGGAGUACUUU